rnacentral:rRNA from 1 species
AUGGACUCGGCGAUGCUCUCGUUCACCUGUGCCGGCCUCGGGGCCGCCGAGGAGGACGACGACGGGGGCGCCGUCGGCUACGUCAAGGGCGACCACUGCCUCGACAACCUGAAGGAUCUGCAGAGGCUGCUGCGGCGGGACGACCCGGAGCGGCGGGAGGUCUUCAAGCAGGUCUGCAAGUGGAGGAUCGCGUCCAGGGAUCUGGUGCCCAUCAUCGAGAACUACCAGUCCGACCGCAACCUCGUCAUCACGGCUGUGAAAGUGUUGGUAUUCCUUACCAUGCCUGUCGAUCCUUCAUCAGAGGAUGUUGCUCAGCAGAUAGAGUAUCUGUGGGAUUUGAAGGCUGCACUCACACGGAAUGUUGCAAUCGCAGUGAUUGUGUCUCUUCUUGAGGACCCAUUGGAUCAUUUGGAAAGAACUUCAUUCACGGAAGAUGACUGGAAGCUAGUACAGCUGGUGCUUACUUUAUUCCGCAACGUCUUGGCUAUUCAAGAAAUCACAUUGCCUCAAAAGGCAUCUGGGGAAGCUACCCAGUUAUUGUACCUGGCUGACAGCUUUUUAGAGCUCAUGUUUAAAGAAAAUAUGAUGGACCUAAUCUUAGUGCUAGCUCAACAUAUUGAUGAGCCCUCUGGUUAUCUCAAGCAUGAAAACCUUCUUUUGUUGGAAAUCUUUCAUUAUCUUUUCUUGGGCCGGGACCCAGAAUUGAUCGCCAAAGUUCGUCCAGAAGGCUCAAAGGAGCAGGUCAAUGGAGAUAUUGAUACAUCAGUUGAUUCAUUGAGAUUGAUGAUGGAGAAGGAAGAGAAGGAAAAAAGGAUGUUCAGGCAGGGAAACGCGGAGAAUCAUGCACUCAACGGAAUUUUUACAUGCCUUGCAGUGGAUGGAUCUAAGUCAUUGUGCAAAGGGAACCCCAGCUCAGCAAUGUCAUCUGCAAAUAGCCUCCGGAAAAUGCGUAAUGUCCAAAGAGGGCCUCAGAAAAGGAUAGCAUGGGAUAAUGAACUUCUUUACAUACCAAAGGAGGGUAUUAUGGAAAUGCUAAGAAGUUUCAUGGAUCAAUUUUUAUCUGGAGGAUAUAAUGUCUUGAUGCAGUCUGUUUGUGAUGAUAUCGUGAAGCAGCAUCAUUCUAUCGAGAAAUCUGAUAACAUUACAUUCUUCAAAGUCGUUUGCUUUGUCUUAGCUUUUCAACACGAGAAAGCAUCAAAUGCUCAGAAAUCAAAUGCUGGGCCCCAGCUGUCCGAGACUUCACCAGGCAAUGAAUGUGAUGAUCUGCCGUUUCGUGAUGACAUAUGUGGACCUGUUGCAGCCACAUUAAACGAAGAUAUGUUCAAUAUAGUCUUGUCCAGGUGGCGUGAGGCCUAUGAAGACCUGAAGCAUUCUAAGGAUUACAAAACUCUUUCAGCUGCUGACUCCUUAAUGAAGAACAUGAUUGGCAUGAUAUAUUUGGUGGUGAAAGUUCAUCCUGAAGAUUCAAGGGAAUCUCAAACAGCCCGCGUUUUACUGUAUAAGCUGUUCUAUGAUCAGACAGAACAAGGCCUGACUCAGUUUCUCCUGAACUUGUUCAGAUCUUUUGAUACUCAUAAGCAACCAAAAAGUGCUCUUGCGGAUUUACUAGAAACAGUUCAUAUCAUGCUACAGCUGAUGGAGAAGCUUCAAGCACGUGGUGCUUUAAGGGUUGCGAAAAGGACAAGAAAGGGCAGAAAAAGGAAGACGUCGGAUGACAAACAUGAGAGUACCAAACCUGAAACAGAGAAUGUGGAGCAAAGCUACAUAGACCCAACAGAUGGGACUAAAGCUACAUCUGAUUCACUUCCAGAUUUGAGAAGUGAGGAUCCUCUAGCAGAACCUACUCUCGUAGAGCAAGGAAAAGUUGAUUCUGAUGGCACAGAUCUGCCAGAUACAAUUGUGGAUACGGCUGUUAAUCUGGAGAGCACCACACAGCUUGGAGGUGAUCCAUCUUCUGCAGUCAGUGAUGAAAAGAAAAGAAAUCCCAUUAAUGAAGAGGAAGAUACUUGUACCACACAGCUUGGAGGUGAUCCAUCUUCUGCAGGCAGUGCUGAAAAGAAAAGAAAUCCCAUUAACGAAGAGGAAGAUACUUGUACCACACAGCUUGGAGGUGAUCCAUCUUCUGCAGGCAGUGCUGAAAAGAAAAGAAAUACCAUUAAUGAAGAGGAAGAUGCUUCAGAUUCUUCAAGUGAUGAUUGCCCCCCAGCUACAAGUGAAGUUGAUUUUAACGUAUCACGGUUAAUAUCCAGCCUAGCCAACAAUUCUGUUGUCCAAAAUAUAUGCUGGUUGUUGAAGUACUAUAAGACUAACUCCUUCCGAACAAACCACUACAUCAUAUGCAUGCUGCGGAGAUUCUGUGAAGAUCUAGAUGUGUCACCAAUGCUAUAUCAGCUAUCGCUUCUGACUACUUUCUAUGAUAUAUUAGCCGAACAGAAGUCUUCGAGUUCAAAGGAGUAUGCAAAUAUUGUAAAUUUUCUUUCUAAAAUUGUAAGGAAGUUGGUGAGAGCAAUGAAAAAACAGCCACUGUUAUUUGUUGAUACACUCUUUUGGAAGACAAGAAAGGAAUGCCAUUGCAUUGAUGCUGAUUAUCUACUGAAUGAGUUCAAGGGAGAUACUAACAAUAAGGGUGGUGAAGUUGGUUCAAGUAAGGGAUGGGGAGGUCCAGUAAAUAUAGCAGAUUCUCUUGGUGACGAUGAAGCUGACUAUGAUAUACCACAUGAACCAUAUGAUGGUGAUAAGAAUGGAGAUUCAUCUUCUGGUGAACGUGAAGGUGAUACUCAGAAGAGCAUGGGUGCCAGAGACAAAAGGAGCAUAUUACUGUCACUUUCAGAUAGUGAAGCUGAGGAUAAUGAUAGGACUACUAUAUCUAGAGGCUCUCAGAAUAAAGAGGUCCCAAAGAGACGAGGGCGUUCCAUUUUUAAUGAAGAGCAAGAGAAGCUUAUCAGAGAUCUUCAUGAGAAAUAUAAGGAUGAUCGUAAAUGCAGUCAUCUAAUUGCUGAAGCUCUAGAUCCCAGUGGAAAGGUAUCGUCAGCUCAAAUUUCUCGAAAGCUUACACAGCUAGGUCUCAGGAGUGUCACUAGGAGGACAAAAGUUCCAGAGGCAUCUCUUUCAGCCGAAGAUCUGGUUACACAACCACAAAACAACGUGCUGGAUGAUCCGAAGCCAGAAAGCACCCGGCGCAGGAGGAAAAGGCUACAUCGGUUAAGCAGUAAGGACGACAACAACGAUAAUCAUCCAGUAUCAUCUGAUGAGGAAAUGUUGCAAUCACUUAAGGGCAGAACCAAAAAUAAGGAGCUGCCCUCGGUGGACCUUUCACCGAGUAAAUCACAGCAUCAAGAGGCUUCGCAGGGCACAAAUUCUGAUGAUGAGCCGAUAGGAUCUCUGCUUAGUAGAGGAAAGAAGAAAAGGUUAUCGACAUCAGAUGUUACAGAGAAUAAACAAGAACACCUAGAUUCUUCGAAGAACAUUGGUCUGGGGGUUGAGACUAUUGGUUCAAAUAUCAUAACCAAAAAUAAGGAGCUGCCAUCCAUGGAUCUUGCACCAAGUAUAUCACAGCAUCAAGAGACUUCGCAGGGCACAGAUUCUGAUGAUGCGACCAUAGGAUCUCUGCUUGGUAAAGGAAAGAAGAAAAGGUUAUCAACGUCAGAUAUUACAGAGAAUAAACAAGAAGACCUAGAUUCUUCGCAGAACAUUGGUCUGGGCGUUGAGACUAUUGGUUCAAAUGCCAUAACCAAAAUUAAGGCGCUGCCGUCAGUGGAUCUUGUACCGAGUAAAUCACAGCAUCAAGAGGCUUCGCAGGGCACAGAUUGUGAUGACGAGACCAUAGGAUCUCUGCUUAGUAGAGGAAAGAAGAAGAGGUUAUCAACGUCAGAUAUUACAGAGAAUAAACACGAAGACCUAGAUUCUUCGAAGAAUACUGGUCUGGGCGUUGAGACUAUCGGUUCAAAUAUCAUACCCAAAAAUAAGGAGCUGGCCUCGGUGGAUCUUCUACCGAGUAUAUCACAGCAUCAAGAGGCUUCGCAGGGCACAGAUUCUGAUGAUGAAACCAUAGGAUCUCUGCUUGGCAGAGGAAAGAAAAGAAGGUUAUCUACAUCAGAUGUUACAGAGAACAGACAAGAACACCAAGAUUCUUCGAAGAACAUUGUUCCGGACAAUGAGACUGUCGGUUCAAAUGUCAUGGACGCCCCUCUCCAUCCGGAGUUGAACUCAUCUAACGAUAACGGUGGUGAUGCUGGUGAGGCUGAACUUCUGGAUGACUUGAGUGAGCCUGAGCUGGAUGGUCGUGAAGAUGCUGAGCAACGAAUCGUCGUUGACAGAGACAUGCCUGAAUCUGGGGACAUGGCAGGCUCUAAUGCCAGUCAGAAGGCUGGUUUGAAAAGAAGACACAGAAUGGUAAUUGACGACGAUGAUGACGAGUAG